rnacentral:rRNA from 1 species
CCUACGGGAGGCUGCAGUGGGGAAUAUUGGACAAUGGGCGAAAGCCUGAUCCAGCCAUGCCGCGUGUGUGAAGAAGGCCUUCGGGUUGUAAAGCACUUUCAGUGGGGAAGAAAGCCUUGGGGCUAAUACCCUCGAGGAAGGACAUCACCCACAGAAGAAGCACCGGCUAACUCCGUGCCAGCAGCCGCGGUAAUACGGAGGGUGCGAGCGUUAAUCGGAAUUACUGGGCGUAAAGCGCGUGUAGGCGGUCUGAUAAGCCGGUUGUGAAAGCCCCGGGCUCAACCUGGGAACGGCAUCCGGAACUGUCAGGCUAGAGUGCAGGAGAGGAAGGUAGAAUUCCCGGUGUAGCGGUGAAAUGCGUAGAGAUCGGGAGGAAUACCAGUGGCGAAGGCGGCCUUCUGGACUGACACUGACGCUGAGGUGCGAAAGCGUGGGUAGCAAACAGGAUUAGAUACCCUUGUAGUC